rnacentral:rRNA from 1 species
UACGUAGGGUGCAAGCGUUGUCCGGAAUUAUUGGGCGUAAAGCGCGCGCAGGUGGUUUCUUAAGUCUGAUGUGAAAGCCCACGGCUCAACCGUGGAGGGUCAUUGGAAACUGGGAGACUUGAGUGCAGAAGAGGAAAGUGGAAUUCCAUGUGUAGCGGUGAAAUGCGUAGAGAUAUGGAGGAACACCAGUGGCGAAGGCGACUUUCUGGUCUGUAACUGACACUGAGGCGCGAAGACGUGGGGAGCAAACAGGG